GGGGUAAAAUCCGUAGAUAUCACUAGGAAUACCUAAAGCGAAGGCGAUCUCCUGGAACAUUACUGACGCUAAGGCGUGAAAGCGUGGGGAGCAAACGGGAUUAGAUACCCCGGNUAGUCCACGCCCUAAACGAUGAACACUAGUCGUCGGGAAGCUUGUCUUCUCGGUGAUGCACUUAACAGAUUAAGUGUUCCGCCUGGGGAGUACUGUCGCAAGAUUAAAACUCAAAGGAAUAGACGGGGACCCGCACAAGUGGUGGAGCAUGUGGUUUAAUUCGACGAUACGCGAAGAACCUUACCUGGCCUUGACAUUGAUUGAAUACACCAGAGAUGGAGUAGCGCCCUUCGGGGAGCAUGAAAACAGGUGCUGCACGGCUGUCGUCAGCUCGUGUCGUGAGAUGUUGGGUUAAGUCCCGCAACGAGCGGCAACCCUCGUNCUUAGUUGCCAGCAGGNUUAAGCUGGGCCACUCUUAGGGAAGACUGNCUUUCGUAAGGAGGAAGGAAGGUGAGGACGACGUCAANUCAUUCAUGGCCCUUACGGCCAGGGGCUACCCACGUGCUACAAUGG
rnacentral:rRNA from 1 species